rnacentral:rRNA from 1 species
GAUGAACGCUGGCGGCGUGCCUAAUACAUGCAAGUCGAGCGAACGGACGAGAAGCUUGCUUCUCUGAUGUUAGCGGCGGACGGGUGAGUAACACGUGGAUAACCUACCUAUAAGACUGGGAUAACUUCGGGAAACCGGAGCUAAUACCGGAUAAUAUUUUGAACCGCAUGGUUCAAAAGUGAAAGACGGUCUUGCUGUCACUUAUAGAUGGAUCCGCGCUGCAUUAGCUAGUUGGUAAGGUAACGGCUUACCAAGGCAACGAUGCAUAGCCGACCUGAGAGGGUGAUCGGCCACACUGGAACUGAGACACGGUCCAGACUCCUACGGGAGGCAGCAGUAGGGAAUCUUCCGCAAUGGGCGAAAGCCUGACGGAGCAACGCCGCGUGAGUGAUGAAGGUCUUCGGAUCGUAAAACUCUGUUAUUAGGGAAGAACAUAUGUGUAAGUAACUGUGCACAUCUUGACGGUACCUAAUCAGAAAGCCACGGCUAACUACGUGCCAGCAGCCGCGGUAAUACGUAGGUGGCAAGCGUUAUCCGGAAUUAUUGGGCGUAAAGCGCGCGUAGGCGGUUUUUUAAGUCUGAUGUGAAAGCCCACGGCUCAACCGUGGAGGGUCAUUGGAAACUGGAAAACUUGAGUGCAGAAGAGGAAAGUGGAAUUCCAUGUGUAGCGGUGAAAUGCGCAGAGAUAUGGAGGAACACCAGUGGCGAAGGCGACUUUCUGGUCUGUAACUGACGCUGAUGUGCGAAAGCGUGGGGAUCAAACAGGAUUAGAUACCCUGGUAGUCCACGCCGUAAACGAUGAGUGCUAAGUGUUAGGGGGUUUCCGCCCCUUAGUGCUGCAGCUAACGCAUUAAGCACUCCGCCUGGGGAGUACGACCGCAAGGUUGAAACUCAAAGGAAUUGACGGGGACCCGCACAAGCGGUGGAGCAUGUGGUUUAAUUCGAAGCAACGCGAAGAACCUUACCAAAUCUUGACAUCCUUUGACAACUCUAGAGAUAGAGCCUUCCCCUUCGGGGGACAAAGUGACAGGUGGUGCAUGGUUGUCGUCAGCUCGUGUCGUGAGAUGUUGGGUUAAGUCCCGCAACGAGCGCAACCCUUAAGCUUAGUUGCCAUCAUUAAGUUGGGCACUCUAAGUUGACUGCCGGUGACAAACCGGAAGAAAGUGGGGAUGACGUCAAAUCAUCAUGCCCCUUAUGAUUUGGGCUACACACGUGCUACAAUGGGACAUACAAAGGGCAGCGAAACCCGCGAGGGUCAAGCAAUCCCAUAAAGUUGGUCUCAGUUCGGAAUGUAGUCUGCCACUCCACCACCUGAAGCUGGAAUCGCUAGUAAUCCAAAAUCACCAUGCUACCGGGAAAACCUUUCCCGGUCU